rnacentral:rRNA from 1 species
AAACUAACAAGGAUUCCCCUAGUAACGGCGAGUGAACCGGGAAGAGCUCAAAUUUGAAAUCUGGCGUGCUCAGUGCGUCCGAGUUGUAAUCUAUAGAGUCGUUUUCCGUGCCGGACUGUGUCCAAGUCCCUUGGAACAGGGUAUCAAAGAGGGUGAUAAUCCCGUACUUGACACAAUGACCGGUGCUCUGUGAUACGUCUUCUACGAGUCGAGUUGUUUGGGAAUGCAGCUCAAAAUGGGUGGUGAGUUCCAUCUAAAGCUAAAUAUUGGCGAGAGACCGAUAGCGAACAAGUACCGUGAGGGAAAGAUGAAAAGCACUUUGGAAAGAGAGUUAAACAGUACGUGAAAUUGUUAAAAGGGAAACGAUUGAAGUCAGUCGUGACUGAGAGGCUCAGCCGGUUCUGCCGGUGUAUUCCCCUCAGUCGGGUCAACAUCAGUUUUGUUCGGUGGAUAAGGGCAGUUGGAAGGUGGCACCCUCGGGUGUGUUAUAGCCAGCUGUCGCAUACAUCGGAUGAGACUGAGGAAUGCAGCUCGCCUUUAUGGCCGGGGUUCGCCCACGUUCGAGCUUAGGA